GAUGAACGCUGGCGGCGUGCCUAAUACAUGCAAGUCGAGCGAACGGACGAGAAGCUUGCUUCUCUGAUGUUAGCGGCGGACGGGUGAGUAACACGUGGAUAACCUACCUAUAAGACUGGGAUAACUUCGGGAAACCGGAGCUAAUACCGGAUAAUAUUUUGAACCGCAUGGUUCAAAAGUGAAAGACGGUCUUGCCGUCACUUAUAGAUGGAUCCGCGCUGCAUUAGCUAGUUGGUAAGGUAACGGCUUACCAAGGCAACGAUGCAUAGCCGACCUGAGAGGGUGAUCGGCCACACUGGAACUGAGACACGGUCCAGACUCCUACGGGAGGCAGCAGUAGGGAAUCUUCCGCAAUGGGCGAAAGCCUGACGGAGCAACGCCGCGUGAGUGAUGAAGGUCUUCGGAUCGUAAAACUCUGUUAUUAGGGAAGAACAUAUGUGUAAGUAACUGUGCACAUCUUGACGGUACCUAAUCAGAGAGCCACGGCUAACUACGUG
rnacentral:rRNA from 1 species